UACAUAGGCAGCAAGCGUUGUUCGGAAUUACUGGGCGUAAAGAGUGUGUAGGCGGUGUUCUAAGUUUGUCGUGAAAUCUCCCGGCUUAACUGGGAGGGUGCGGCGAAAACUGGAAUGCUAGAGGAUGGGAGAGGUAAGCGGAAUUCCUGGUGUAGCGGUGAAAUGCGUAGAUAUCAGGAGGAACACCUGUGGUGUAGACAGCUUACUGGACCAUUUCUGACGCUGAGACACGAAAGCGUGGGUAGCAAACAGG
rnacentral:rRNA from 1 species